rnacentral:rRNA from 1 species
UUAUGGCUCAGGAUGAACGCUGGCGGCGUGCCUAACACAUGCAAGUCGAGCGGAGAUAAGUUGAAGCCUAGCGAUUCUUAUCUUAGCGGCGGAUGGGUGAGUAACACGUGGGUAACCUGCCCUGUACUGGGGAAUAACAGCUGGAAACGGCUGUUAAUGCCGCAUAUGCGCACGGAGCCGCAUGGCCCUGGGCGGAAAGAUUUAUCGGUACAGGAUGGGCCCGCGCCGGAUUAACUAGUUGGCGGGGUAACGGCCCACCAAGGUGAUGAUCCGUAGCCGACCUGAGAGGGUGACCGGCCACAUUGGGACUGAGACACGGCCCAAACUCCUACGGGAGGCAGCAGUGGGGGAUAUUGCACAAUGGGGGAAACCCUGAAUGCAGCGACGCCGCGUGAAGGAUGACGUAUUUCGGUAUGUAAACUUCUAUCAGCGGGGAAGAAGAUGACGGUACCCGACUAAGAAGCCCCGGCUAACUACGUGCCAGCCGCCGC